rnacentral:misc_RNA from 1 species
GAUGAAGAACGUAGUGAAAUGCGAUAAUUAAUGUGAAUUGCAGAAUUCAGUGAAUCAUCGAGUCUUUGAACGCACAUUGCGCCCCCUGGUAUUCCGGGGGGCAUGCCUGUCCGAGCGUCAUUGCUGCCCUCAAGCACGGCUUGUGUGUUGGGCUUCCGUCCCUGGCAACGGGGACGGGCCCAAAAGGCAGUGGCGGCACCAUGUCUGGUCCUCGAGCGUAUGGGGCUUUGUCACCCGCUCCCGUAGGUCCAGCUGGCAGCUAGCCUCGCAACCAAUCUUUUUACCCAGGUUGACCUCGGAUCAGGUAGGGAUACCCGCUGAACUUAAGCAUAUCAAUAAGCGGAGGA